GACAGAGGGGGCAAGCGGUUGCUCGGAAUCACUGGGCGUGAAAGGGCGCGUAGGCGGGAUGGCAAGGUCAGUCGUGAAAUCUCUCGGCUCCAAGCCGACGAAACGUCGGCUGAUACUGCCGUUCUUGAGGGAUGCAGAGGAGACUGGAAUUCCCGGUGUAGCGGUGAAAUGUGUGGAGAUCGGGGAGGAACACCGGUGGCGAAGGCGGGUCUCUGGGCAUUUGCCUGACGCUGAGGCGCGAAAGCGUGGGGAGCAAACGGG
rnacentral:rRNA from 1 species